rnacentral:lncRNA from 1 species
GUCCUUUGGCUCUGUCAGAGUUGGGAAUGUUCUCUGGUUCUGCCUGAAACGUGUGGUGGGAGGGAAAAACAGGUAAUAAAGUUGACCUUAAUAGAAGAAGACUGAGCUCCCCCAGGGAAAGGGGAAUCCUGCUAGAAGACCACAUCUGGCCUUGAACUGCACCUCUUUCCUGGGUCCCAGCCUGGCAGCCCACCUUGCAGAUUCUGGACUUGCCAAGACACCACAGUUGCAUGAGCUGAUUUCUUAAAGUAAAAUCUCUCUUUCUCUCUGUACACACACACACACACACAACACACACACACACAACACACACACACACACACACACACACACUGUUGAUUCUCUGGAGAACUCUGACUAAUAGAGAAUGUUAGCGGGGGAAGGGCUCCGACAUGUGUUGCUUCUUUUCUUCUAAAGUAACUUAAAAUAAAUACACUUCCCCACAGUGAGGCUUCAUUUCCUUCAGUUUUUUUUUUUUUUUUUUUGUCUUUUUAGGGCUGCACCCAUAGGAUAUGGAAGUUGCCAGGCUAGGGGUCCAACCGGAGCUGUAGCCGUGGACUAUGCCAUAGCCACAGCAAUGAGGGAUCCAAGCCACAUCUGUGACCUACACCACAGCUCAUGGCAAUGCCAGAUCCUUACCCUACUGAGUGAGGCCAGGGAUUGAACCUGAGCCCUUAUGAAUGCUAGUCAGGUUUAUUAACCGCUGAGCCACACUGGGAAUUCCCUUCUGCAGUUUUAUGUGAAAAAACGACUAUUCCCCACAUAAACAAAAUGCUGACUUUAUUCUUUGUCAAUUAUAACUCUAUUCUUAGGAUGCUAUCCCUUCUUGUUCUGAGUUGCACUAUGGAGAUUUCUGGAAAUAACUGACAAUGAAGGGUCUCGGAUCCACAUAAGGGUUCCAUUUCCCAUGGAUUUUCUUCCUGCACUGGAUCAGGAAACAUAUUGUCUCACGCUGGUGGACAACAGUCCAGAGGAGGUGAGCAUCAGAGAGGAAGGAAGUCAUCCUGGUGGUUCUGGCCCUGUGUCUCUGUAACUCUGGCUAGAUCUUCCUCUAUGUGUGCUUCAUCCUCAGAUAAGCUUCCCUCAUGGUGCCAGUGUGGUCACAGCUUCCCCAGGCUUUGCUUCUGUACUCCAGAAGAGGAGAAGGAAUUAGUUUCUCUCUUUAGAGUGGGGAAGGCUGAAGACAUGAAAACAACCUAAAUAUCCAUCAGCAGAUGAAUUGGUAAAGGAGAUGUGGUAUAUACAUACAAUGGAAUACUACUCGUCCUUAACACAGAAUUUGCGGUAACAUGGAUGGAUUAUCAUACUAAGUGAAGUAAGUCAGGAGAAAGAUAAAUACCAUAUGUUAUCACUUAUAUGUGGAAUCUAAAAUAUGACACAAAUGAAUGUAUCUGUGAAACAGAUACAAGCUCAAAGACAUAGAAAACAGACUUGUGUUUGCCAAGGGCAGGGGGUAGGUGGGAUGGACUGGAAGUUGGGGGGAGUAGAUGCAGACUAUUAUAAAUGGAAGGGAUAAACGACAAGGCCCUACUACAGAGCACAAGCAACUAUAUUCAAUAUCCUUAGAUAAAUCAUAAUGGAAAAGAAUAUUUAAAAAAGAGUGUGUAUGUGUAUAUAUAACUGAAUCACUUUGCUGUACAGCAUAAAUUAAUAUAACUCUGUGAGUCAACUAUAUUUCAAUAAAAAAAAAAUAGAGCAGGGAAGGCUGUGAUGU